rnacentral:tRNA from 3 species
CGCAGGGUGGAGCAGUUGGAAGCUCGUCGGGCUCAUAACCCGAAGGCCGGGGGUUCAAGUCCCUCCCCUGCUA